CUCCUCAACAUUUUCCAAAAAACUAUUUAGCAAUCCCCUAUAUAGUUCACAUAGUCGAUCUUGACGCUUUAACUCUGUAGUUAGUUCCUGAAUCCUCCUGUCCUUGGUGUCCAUUAGUGUUUCACAACCUUAAAAUGCAAAAUUUUCCAGGAUGUUUAUGCCCCGAGCAUGCCAAUUCCCACAAAACUCAACUGGAGAAGCAUCCUCACAACUCAACCCCAUAGAAUUUCGAGAAGGACGAUCGGAAACAACUAAUGAAUGUGUAUGGUCCUUUUCGAAUCUUGUGACCACCCAUUUUCCUGAUUUAUUAAUCUUCACCAACAUCAUUGCUUUGCAACCUUCUCUCAUGCUAGCUCUUGGUUUCCUAACUGGUCCAAACUUGUCUCUAGCUUUAGCAUAAAAACCUUGUCUAUUACAAGAAAGUCGACGGGACAGUAUUCUCUUGUCAACCUCAGAACGCCGGCAUUGAUCAAUCCGCAUUAUGAAUCCUGCCCUUCUUGCAUACUCAUCGUAAAACUGCUUGGCAGCCUCUUCUGAUUCAAACUCCAUGCCAACACAUGGUUCUAGAAUUGGACCUUCUUCACUUGCA
rnacentral:misc_RNA from 1 species